UUACGGCCAUAUCACCUCGAAACACGAGUUCUCGUGCGAUCACUGAAGUUAAGCAACGUCGUGUCUGGCCAGUACAUGGAUGUGUGAUCACUUGGGAAUACCAGGUGCU